AAGAAGAAGAAGAAUCUGAA
rnacentral:sRNA from 1 species